GGGCCAGUCUGGGGGCAGGGCCGCUGGGCGGGAGGGAUGACCCCACCGGGAGCUGGCUUCAGCUCCCCGGGCGAGGGUGGCGACCCUCUGCUGUCUGUCCCAGGACAAGCUGUGCGCACCAGGCUGGGCGCGUCUCCUCUCCAGCGCGGGGCCUCGUAAGCACUGGGUCAGUGCCCCGCCUGGACCUCGCUGCCCUCCACCCCAGCUGGCGGUCCUCUGGGACACGGGCGUUCCCCUUUUUGCCGCAGCUCAGCCUGGCCCGGGGAGGGCUCGGAGGACGCGCGGGGUGGGGUGGGGGGGCAACGGGGACGACACUCGGGUAUCGAGCCCGAGGACAGUCCCAGACCUGCCGCGAACCACCCCUCCUGCUUUGGCGUCUCCCGGGCUCCGAUUAAACAGGCUUCUGCCACGUGACCCUCUCGGAGCCAAUCGCAGCGGCCUGAUCCGGCACGCGCUGAUUGGCUCAGGCCGUCCAGGGCGGGGGCGGGGCCGGGACGGGGCGGGGGACGCCAGGGGUCCGCGCGUGGCCCCGACGCCUCGACUCAGCGCCCAGGUCUAGUGGCACUGGGCUGGGUCCUGCCUUGAGGCCCUUCCAUCCUCCGGGCCACGUAGAUGUUGACCGACACUGGCAGGCAUUGCAGUAGCCCGAGCCAAUCCCCAGUCCCGCCUCCAGCUCUGCCUCUCAUCCUGGCUUCCCGCAUCCCGCCUCCGAUCCCGCCCCCAGCCGAGCCCCCCGGCUUGAGCUCCCCCUCAAACUCCGCCUCCAGUCCCGGCCCAGCCCGCCCCCCCAAUCCCGUCUCCGAUCCCGCCCCAGGUCCCGCCCCCCAGCCUGACUCCCACCGGCGCCCCCGUCCUGUCCAAGCCAAGCUCCCCAGUUCGACUCCCUCAACCCCGCCCCUCUGCCCGAGCGCGAGCCCGGCUCCAAGAGACCCACCCUUCACCCGAGACGCUACCCCUCCCUUCGGACCUAACGGGAACCGGCAGAGGCAGGAGUGGAGCAGGUUCUCAAUCGUGUGGACAGGUGGCCCAGACCCAGGGUUCACCGAGCCCCGCUGGCUGCGAUUGUGGACGGCAGGAUUGUCUAGCUGCGGAUUAGCACAACUAGACAAGAUGGUCCUUUAUUUCCAGAUCUUUAAAGAUGUGUCGUGACAGCCUUGAUGGUUAAGUGGCUGGUGAUCGUACAGCUGGGCGAGUGCAGGGCGCCUGAGAGGAGAGACAACAAACCCAGGCAGAGUGCUGCCCCGGGCUGGCUGCCCACAGGGACCAGGGCGAGGACCCGCCUGCUGCGCAGUGCAGGACGUCUCUGGGGGGCCGAGUAUCAAAGCGGGCUCUGCUUUGUCAAAAUAGAGUUAACUUCUGAAAGGAAGGAGACCCUGUGAAGAGGCAGUGUGGUCCUAAAGCCAUCCCAGGGGCAAGGGCACGGUCGGCGGAGCCCCAGUGCCACUCUGAAGUGCCCAGCUGGCUCCUGCCUCAGGGCCCUGGCGCUGCUGUUCCCUGCCUGGAAUGCGCUCCCACCAGAGGCCCACGGGGCUCCCUCCUUUCUUCGUUGGGGCCUGUCUGCGCAUGUCACCUCCUCGGGGGUGAAGCAGCUACCCUACCAUCCUCUCUGCCCCCUUAUCCUGCUCAGUUUCCUACACGGAAGAAACCACCACCUGACUUACUAUGUGUUUAUCAUCUGGCCACUGGAGCAAUCAGUCCCGGGAGGAAGGGACCUCAAUUACCCCCGGUGCCUAGAACAAAGCUCUGCACAGCACGGGGGCUCAGCAAGCCUGAAAGAGAACACACGCAGCUGCCCCCGACAUGCAGGAGGAAGCGCAGGCGCCGGGACAGACGGACAGAGGACAUCCACGGUCUACACUAAGCUCGGCUGCUUGGGCGCCCCACGCGCUGGGGACAGGAUGCGGGGUUUCUACGAGACGACGCCCUGUCUGCUCAGAGCUGGCUUUUUAAAGUGUGAAAACAGGCGUUUAAAAAAGACGAGGAACCGGGAGGUGUCGGGGCGCAGCGCGGAC